GGCGGGGUAACGGCCCACCAAGGCAACGAUCAGUAGGGGUUCUGAGAGGAAGGUCCCCCACAUUGGAACUGAGACACGGUCCAAACUCCUACGGGAGGCAGCAGUGAGGAAUAUUGGUCAAUGGGCGAGAGCCUGAACCAGCCAAGUAGCGUGCAGGAAGACGGCCCUAUGGGUUGUAAACUGCUUUUAUAAGGGAAUAAAGUGAGUCUCGUGAGACUUUUUGCAUGUACCUUAUGAAUAAGGACCGGCUAAUUCCGUGCCAGCAGCCGCGGUAAUACGGAAGGUCCUGGCGUUAUCCGGAUUUAUUGGGUUUAAAGGGAGCGUAGGCCGGAGAUUAAGCGUGUUGUGAAAUGUAGACGCUCAACGUCUGCACUGCAGCGCGAACUGGUUUCCUUGAGUACGCACAAAGUGGGCGGAAUUCGUGGUGUAGCGGUGAAAUGCUUAGAUAUCACGAAGAACUCCGAUUGCGAAGGCAGCUCACUGGAGCGCAACUGACGCUGAAGCUCGAAAGUGCGGGUAUCGAACAGGAUUAGAUACCCUGGUAGUCCGCACGGUAAACGAUGGAUGCCCGCUGUUGGUCUGAACAGGUCAGCGGCCAAGCGAAAGCAUUAAGCAUCCCACCUGGGGAGUACGCCGGCAACGGUGAAACUCAAAGGAAUUGACGGGGGCCCGCACAAGCGGAGGAACAUGUGGUUUAAUUCGAUGAUACGCGAGGAACCUUACCCGGGCUUGAAUUGCAGAGGAAGGAUUUGGAGACAAUGACGCCCUUCGGGGUCUCUGUGAAGGUGCUGCAUGGUUGUCGUCAGCUCGUGCCGUGAGGUGUCGGCUUAAGUGCCAUAACGAGCGCAACCCCUCUCCUUAGUUGCCAUCAGGUUAAGCUGGGCACUCUGGGGACACUGCCACCGUAAGGUGUGAGGAAGGUGGGGAUGACGUCAAAUCAGCACGGCCCUUACGUCCGGGGCUACACACGUGUUACAAUGGCAGGUACAGAGAGACGGUUGUACGUAAGUACGAUCAAAUCCUUAAAGCCUGUCUCAGUUCGGACUGGGGUCUGCAACCCGACCCCACGAAGCUGGAUUCGCUAGUAAUCGCGCAUCAGCCAUGGCGCGGUGAAUACGUUCCCGGGCCUUGUACACACCGCCCAUCAAGCCAUGAAAGCCGGGGGCGCCUAAAGUCCGUGACCGUAAGAAGCGGCCUAGGGCGAAACUGGUAAUUGGGGCUAAGUCGUAACAAGGUA
rnacentral:rRNA from 1 species